AGUGGCGGACGGGUGAGUAAUGCGUAGGAAUCUGUCUUUUAGUGGGGGACAACCCAGGGAAACUUGGGCUAAUACCGCAUGAGCCCUGAGGGGGAAAGCGGGGGAUCUUCGGACCUCGCGCUAAGGGAAGAGCCUACGUCUGAUUAGCUAGUUGGUAGGGUAAAGGCCUACCAAGGCGACGAUCAGUAGCUGGUCUGAGAGGACGACCAGCCACACUGGGACUGAGACACGGCCCAGACUCCUACGGGAGGCAGCAGUGGGGAAUAUUGGACAAUGGGCGAAAGCCUGAUCCAGCAAUGCCGCGUGGAUGAAGAAGGUCUUCGGAUUGUAAAGUCCUUUUGGCGGGGACGAUGAUGACGGUACCCGCAGAAUAAGCUCCGGCUAACUUCGUGCCAGCAGCCGCGGUAAUACGAAGGGGGCUAGCGUUGCUCGGAAUGACUGGGCGUAAAGGGCGCGUAGGCGGACGGCACAGUCAGGCGUGAAAUUCCUGGGCUCAACCUGGGGACUGCGUCUGAGACGUGUUGUCUUGAGUAUGGAAGAGGGGUUGUGGAAUUUCCAGUGUAGAGGUGAAAUUCGUAGAUAUUGGAAAGAACACC
rnacentral:rRNA from 1 species